AUACUUAAGCUUGAUCUUUUCUCCUUUGCAUUUUUGUUUUAGUGUUUGUUCAUUGUGUAGCUUUAGUGUUACAGAUGAUCUCUGUUCAGGAAAAUGGAGAAGGAGAAUCUAUUUGCUUAAGAAUGAUAAUUUUCAUCAGUUUGUUUGUAGGUUUUCUAAUCUGUUUGGUUAGAAUGGGCAGACAUGGGUUCGCACUUGUUGCUUGUUGUUCUCCACAAGUGCAUUAGCAACUGCAGAACAUACUUGCUGAGAACAACCAAAUAAAAGUCGGGCAACCUUACUAUAGGCCCCUAGGGGCAGGAUCUAAUCCCAGCAGUACAUGCCUAUAUUAUUAAAACCCUAGACAACGGAGCAAGUAAAAAUCAGGGUAAGCUUCAUGGUUUAACAUAUUGGAAGAACCUAUCUUUGUUGCAUUGGUGGAAUUGGAGCUACUACAAAUUAAAAUAAAGCGCUGGAAAAUUGAAUUUAAAUUGCUGCAGGUAAUGUAUAUCUGACUUUAUUACUUUAUUAAUUGAAGGUUAAAGAUAUUAGUCGGUAUUCGACUGUACGGCAUCUUUCGCAUUACGUUUUAGAGCCAUUACGCCAGGAUUACUGAUAUUUGUGUACAAGUUGUUGGGUGAUGAUACCAAAACCGUUACUCAGCGAUCCGAAACUUGUCAGUUGGAAAUGAAACUGUGAGACUGUAAUUUUCGCAAUAUGUAAAAUGGAACUGUAAUUUUUGAAACAAGUUAAUGAAAUUGAGUAUGCAGGCGCAUCUGCAGUGGGUUCAGGUUUAAAACACGCAGGACACACGUGCGCAUGUCAAACGCGUGCGCUGUGUGGGUGUCCAACGCGUGUCCCGUGUCCGAUGCGGACACGACGCCAAUACUAGUGUGUCGGUGCUUCACAAACCCACCCUCUAUCAGUCUCCUUGGGGCCCUAGGGACUGUGGGUUGCGGUAUUUCAACCUUGCUAGCGGACAACUGUGGGAUAUGACGUGGCACUAUCUGAAUGGUUGAGAAGGGAAUGACUCUAGCAUUGGGAUCAGUAGCAGACUGGGUUGAGAAAACGAGUCAAUUAUUUUCAGGUACUAUCUAUUCAUGAUUCAUCAAUGCUUAUGUAUAUGGCCGGCAAUUGGGAUGCAGUUUUCCUCAAGUUGGGACCUACGAACAAGGAAUCAAGUCUGUGGACAGAAAUUAUGCAAUGGCAAUUUCCUGAUGAUGAAGUUCUAAGAGUAAUAAUGCCAAGGAAAGCGUACAACAUAAAAUCUGCUGCAGUUGGGAUGGAAUUCAAUGUUCAAGUGAGUCUUUUCAUGUCAUAUCUAUCGACCUUAGAAACAAAGACUUGGAGAUGUACCAAUACGACGAUUCCUCCUACCAGGAAGAACCAAAAACUGCACUGCAAGGUAUAUUAUCACCUUCCAUUUUCAAUAUUACUCAACUGGAGUACCUCGAUCUUGGCUUUAAUGAUUUUCAGGGAUCAGAUAUCAGCAAUCAGUGUUCUUAUCUGACUAAACUCACCCAUUUGGAUCUCUCCCUUUCAAACUUUUCAGCAUCAAUUUCCACACAAUUCAAUAACCUGACAUUUCUACAAUACCUCGACCUAUCAUGCUAUCAGAUAGAUGCAAUAGGUAUUUACACUACCCCUUGCUUACAAUCAUCAACUACAAAGUGGCUUAGAGGUUUAGUAAAUCUCCAGGUAUUAAGGUUGAGUGGUAUUGAUAUAUCUGAGGCCACCUCUUCAAAAGACGAUUUUGCUCAACAUAUUUCCCACCUCUGGAAUCUUAUGGAUCUCGAUAUCUCUUAUUGCGGUAUAUCUGGUCCGGUUCUAUCCAUUCUUCAAUCUCCAAUCUUAAAGACCUGAACUUUCUCGGUUUGUCUGGGAAUAAAAUUCAAGGAUCCAUACCAAAUUUAAUCUGUGAGAUUUUUCCUCUUCGACAUCUUGAUUUAAAGGUUAAUAAUAUAACAGGAACCGUACCAAGUUGCAUCAUAAACCUCCGAAAUCUUAGUUUCCUUGAUGUUUCCUUUUUACUUCUAUAAGAGGAACUGUUUCGUUGAUUUCUUUCAUCAAUGAACUAGACCUAACUUUCUUAGACCUCCGUGCAAAUAAGUUUAUUAUGUUCACAAAAACCAGAUUUGUCUUACACUAGAACGUAUAUAAUUGAACUCUCCAACAACAAACUAUCUGGCACUAUACCUUCUAGUAUAGGGAUUGCAGAAAUCUUGGUGCUCUAGACCUCGGCAACAAUAGUCUCACUGGAAAUGUUCCAAACGAGCUUAAACACACAAAUCUGGAAUCCCUUGAACUAAAUGACAACUAUCUCAAUGGUACGUUUCCUAUGUUCAUCCAAAAUUUCUUAAGAUUGGAGACUCUCAACUUAGGAAAUAACAACUUUGAAGGGAGUAUACCCACUGGUCUUGGUUUACUCAGCGACCUAACCAUCCUUUCUUUAAGGUCGAACAGAUUCAACGGGUCUAUUCCUGAAGAUAUUAUGCAAU